UCAUAAGUGAACAUAACAGGACAAGCGACGGACACAGCGAAAUCGAUUCCCCAAUCCCCAAGCCUAACCUAGGCCAGACGGCGACGACGGAGCGCGAUCGAACGGCGGCGGUGGAGUAUGAGUGGACGGCGACGGCGACGGCUUAGAGGGUGAGCGGAUAUGACGUCGGCGGCAGGUAUCUGCGCGAUGGCUUCCAUUGGAAGCUCGGCUAGGUGAGAACCCGAACUGGGUGGUUACAUCGUCGGCGGCGGCUGAAGCAGCGACAACGAGGAAUUGAAGCUUACCUCUGAAGUUUAUUGGACCAAGCCGACGGCGGCGAGCAAGGCGCCGAUGACGAGCAAGGCACAUCCUGGAACACCGGUGAAGUUGCCUUCACGACUGUCAGGUGCAAUAUAAGCUUCCAGUUGGGGAGGAAUUGUAGUACCAGUACCAGAAAAAGCAAGGCAGAAGAAGAAAUUACAGGGAUUUAGAAGAAGAUGCAAAGCUGGUUAGGAAGAUAACAGAAAAGGAGUCGAAGUUGCAGGCAGUCAACGCAGCUAAGAAUGAAUUUUAGAGGAUGCACAGGGAGGAGAUGAGAAGGAGAGACAAGAGGGAGAUGGUCAUGCUUCCGUCAGUAGUAGCCAUUGUAGUCCUGUAUGCAGUUUCUCCUUUGCUAGUGAAGGUGUUUGUGUGAGGAGAGACAGUAGAGCAUUUGCUAGUUAGUGUUUUGCUGAUGUGUUUGUAUGUGCUGAUGAAUAAAUGCAAAAAAAAUUGUUGAAUAAAUAUCCGGAGAAAUGGAAUACCUUUUGUUGAA